rnacentral:rRNA from 1 species
UUAGGAAUCUUGCGCAAUGGGGGAAACCCUGACGCAGCAACGCCGCGUGAAGGAUGAAGGCCUUCGGGUUGUAAACUUCUUUUAGCAGGAAAGAACACAAUGACGGUACCUGCAGAAAAAGCACCGGCUAACUCUGUGCCAGCAGCCGCGGUAAUACAGAGGGUGCAAGCGUUAUUCGGAUUUACUGGGCAUAAAGAGCGCGUAGGCGGUUUAAUAAGUCCGAUGUGAAAUCCCUGGACCCAAUCCAGGAAGUGCAUCGGAUACUGUUAGACUCGAGUACAGGAGGGGAGAGCGGAAUUCCAGGUGUAGAGGUGAAAUUCGUAGAUAUCUGGAGGAACAACAGUGGCGAAGGCGGCUCUCUGGACUGUUACUGACGCUGAGGCGCGAAAGCGUGGGGAGCAAACAGG